rnacentral:rRNA from 2 species
GACGAACGCUGGCGGCGUGCCUAAUACAUGCAAGUCGAACGAACUCUGGUAUUGAUUGGUGCUUGCAUCAUGAUUUACAUUUGAGUGAGUGGCGAACUGGUGAGUAACACGUGGGAAACCUGCCCAGAAGCGGGGGAUAACACCUGGAAACAGAUGCUAAUACCGCAUAACAACUUGGACCGCAUGGUCCGAGUUUGAAAGAUGGCUUCGGCUAUCACUUUUGGAUGGUCCCGCGGCGUAUUAGCUAGAUGGUGGGGUAACGGCUCACCAUGGCAAUGAUACGUAGCCGACCUGAGAGGGUAAUCGGCCACAUUGGGACUGAGACACGGCCCAAACUCCUACGGGAGGCAGCAGUAGGGAAUCUUCCACAAUGGACGAAAGUCUGAUGGAGCAACGCCGCGUGAGUGAAGAAGGGUUUCGGCUCGUAAAACUCUGUUGUUAAAGAAGAACAUAUCUGAGAGUAACUGUUCAGGUAUUGACGGUAUUUAACCAGAAAGCCACGGCUAACUACGUGCCAGCAGCCGCGGUAAUACGUAGGUGGCAAGCGUUGUCCGGAUUUAUUGGGCGUAAAGCGAGCGCAGGCGGUUUUUUAAGUCUGAUGUGAAAGCCUUCGGCUCAACCGAAGAAGUGCAUCGGAAACUGGGAAACUUGAGUGCAGAAGAGGACAGUGGAACUCCAUGUGUAGCGGUGAAAUGCGUAGAUAUAUGGAAGAACACCAGUGGCGAAGGCGGCUGUCUGGUCUGUAACUGACGCUGAGGCUCGAAAGUAUGGGUAGCAAACAGGAUUAGAUACCCUGGUAGUCCAUACCGUAAACGAUGAAUGCUAAGUGUUGGAGGGUUUCCGCCCUUCAGUGCUGCAGCUAACGCAUUAAGCAUUCCGCCUGGGGAGUACGGCCGCAAGGCUGAAACUCAAAGGAAUUGACGGGGGCCCGCACAAGCGGUGGAGCAUGUGGUUUAAUUCGAAGCUACGCGAAGAACCUUACCAGGUCUUGACAUACUAUGCAAAUCUAAGAGAUUAGACGUUCCCUUCGGGGACAUGGAUACAGGUGGUGCAUGGUUGUCGUCAGCUCGUGUCGUGAGAUGUUGGGUUAAGUCCCGCAACGAGCGCAACCCUUAUUAUCAGUUGCCAGCAUUAAGUUGGGCACUCUGGUGAGACUGCCGGUGACAAACCGGAGGAAGGUGGGGAUGACGUCAAAUCAUCAUGCCCCUUAUGACCUGGGCUACACACGUGCUACAAUGGAUGGUACAACGAGUUGCGAACUCGCGAGAGUAAGCUAAUCUCUUAAAGCCAUUCUCAGUUCGGAUUGUAGGCUGCAACUCGCCUACAUGAAGUCGGAAUCGCUAGUAAUCGCGGAUCAGCAUGCCGCGGUGAAUACGUUCCCGGGCCUUGUACACACCGCCCGUCACACCAUGAGAGUUUGUAACACCCAAAGUCGGUGGGGUAACCUCUUAGGAACCAGCCGCCUAAGGUGGGACAGAUGAUUAGGGUG